GGGGGCGAAAGGUUUCGACGGGGGAAGCACGAGCAAGAGUUGCCAGGCGAGAUCCCACCGACUCGUAAAACGGUGGAACCUAAUAAGUGCCAACGAAAAUUACGCAUUAGCUGCUUAGUAAAAGCGGCUCAUCCAACCUGCUGACGUCCGCUAGGCUGGUUUGGGUGUCGACUGAGCGGGCUACCUUAAGCUUCUCGCUCACGGGAGCUUAAGGGAAAUUCCAGUGAGCUAGUCGGUAGGCAUCCUGUCUCCGGGAGGCAUUCCGGCGAACAACAAAACGGGGACUAUCCUGGUAGAAGCUCUUGUGGGUGUUCCUUCGGACGGGGGUUCGAUUCCCCCCGCCUCCACCA
rnacentral:tmRNA from 1 species